rnacentral:tRNA from 1 species
GUUAGAGCACGCGCUUGAUAAGCGCGGGGUCGAUAGUUCAACUCUAUCCAGGCCCACCACUGAGUUGUGAUCACGGGGUUCCCGAUGAGUGGAUUCGCACGGACACUUAUUCGUACACGGUGCGGGGCUGUAGCUCAGUUGGGAGAGCACCUGCUUUGCAAGCAGGGGGUCGCUGGUUCGAUUCCAGUCAGCUCCACCAAGUGAAGACUAUGUUCGUGCUCA